UCUCUGUCUCUCUCCAAACCUCAUAAGACUCCUUUCACACUCAGCUGUGGAAUUUGCAGACCGGCUCGUGAUGAUGGCUGGAAGGAUUGGAGGUGGGUCGUUAAUGGGAACUUCUAUAUCUAUAAAAAUUUCACCUAGAAAAAAUUUUAGGUCAGGUGGGAGUCUUUGUCCCACUGAGAUUUUUAAACUUUCUUUUCUUCUUUCUCUCUCUUUCUUUCUUUCUUUCUUAUAUAACACAUGGGUCUUAUUGAUGGUAGAAAAAAUAAUUCUUUCACUUAUAAAAAAUAUGUGUUUUAUUGAACUCUGUAUUUUUUUCCCAUCCUUUGUGUGGGUUGAGUCUCCCCCGCCGCCGCCCCUUAAUCUACUUUUUCAUUCACCAAGUAAUAAUACCCACCACAGCAGCUGCUGCUUCUGAAAGGAAAGCAGGUGGUCUGUCAACAGGUUUUGAUCUGGAAGUUGUAGUCAGUGGCUCCUUUCUUCAUGAAGACUCUGCUUGGUCUUAGUUCCAAGCCCGGGGGAGGUUGGUGAAGCUGCUGGAUUGGUUGAAGAGAUCCUCUUGUUGGGUCUUUACCUCCUGUGCAGAACUAAAGAGUGUGGUUUUAGGUCCUUCCUCCUCCCGUGCCUCUCUUUGAGCAGGUCACUGCUGCUUAGGGGCCCUUUGUGGCUGCCACACUGAGCAGCUGCUGUCGUACCUGAAGGAUGGAGAGCUUCAGUUUCUGCUCAGUCAGCCGUGUCUUCCUGACAAAGUACAGAACUUUCACUUCCAGGUUUCCACAGUUUUGCAUAUUCCAUAGGAAUAGAUGAAUCUAGUUCCUUUUCGGGUUUAAUUGGGCCACAUCUUCCCUUGAGCCCGUGAUUGUAAGAUAUUUCAUUGUCUUGGGUAGCCAUCGCGGGUCCUGCUGACUCCAUGGGUCCCACUUACCUUCCUGUUAGUGGCAUUUCUGUCUCUGGCAGAACUAACCGUUCAGACAGGAUUCCCAACCAUCAGCAUUUACAGUAAAAUGUUUUUCAGUUUCUACACCACUGAAAGCUUCGUUAUUUAUUGUUCGUAAAAAUGAUCAAGAUUUGCUGUUUGGUUUUAUCUUUUCUCACGUUUUUGAUUACUUUAAUCUAUGGACUACUUGAGGAAGUGGAUUUUAUUUCACCUCUGCAUAGGAUGGAUCUUUUCCUGAUCUACUCUGCAUAGAGUUACCCUUUUUAAUUUUUUUAAAGCAACAUACUGUACUGAGAACUUGAAAGUCUGUUUAGUUCUUUCAUAUAUGGAAUACGACCCGUCACUCCUGAUUUCUCUUUCGCCCAUACUUCAGAUGCUGAAGAAGUACUUGGUGUCUCAACAUCUCUGUCUAGGUAAUCCACUGCCUUCUCAAACUGAUUUUGAAUUUUGAGUCUCUCUUUGAAAAGGAGGACAUUUUUCAUUUCUUGGCUGUCUGGUGUCAUUUUGAGGAAGACAUCUUGGUGACUCAGUAUUUGACACUCUGUCAUCCCUGAUAAAGCUCUUUCUGCUCUG